rnacentral:rRNA from 1 species
GACGAACGCUGGCGGCGUGCUUAACACAUGCAGGUCGAACGGAAAGGCCCUGCUUUUGUGGGGUGCUCGAGUGGCGAACGGGUGAGUAACACGUGAGUAACCUGCCCUUGACUUUGGGAUAACUUCAGGAAACUGGGGCUAAUACCGGAUAGGAGCUCCUGCUGCAUGGUGGGGGUUGGAAAGUUUCGGCGGUUGGGGAUGGACUCGCGGCUUAUCAGCUUGUUGGUGGGGUAGUGGCUUACCAAGGCUUUGACGGGUAGCCGGCCUGAGAGGGUGACCGGCCACAUUGGGACUGAGAUACGGCCCAGACUCCUACGGGAGGCAGCAGUGGGGAAUAUUGCACAAUGGGCGGAAGCCUGAUGCAGCAACUCCGCGUGCGGGAUGACGGCCUUCGGGUUGUAAACCGCUUUCGCCUGUGACGAAGCGUGAGUGACGGUAAUGGGUAAAGAAGCACCGGCUAACUACGUG